rnacentral:rRNA from 2 species
AGCGCGGUGGUCCCACCUGACCCCAUGCCGAACUCAGAAGUGAAACGCCGUAGCGCCGAUGGUAGUGUGGGGUCUCCCCAUGUGAGAGUAGGGAACUGCCA